UUCCCCUGGCAAUGGGCAAAGAGACACCUUGUUGAUGGUAUUGUUCUUAUAUCAGUCAGGGGCAGAGCAGAUGGCAGUCCUUUGUUCAUCCUAGCUUGAUGCCUGGCUUGGUGGCCAGAGCUGUGUUAUGCCUAGGAUUCAUAA